rfam:Glossina austeni unplaced genomic scaffold Scaffold8, whole genome shotgun sequence.
UAGUCUUAGUAUGUAGGCGCCAUGGAUGGCGAAUCGUGCAUGCAACUAUUACGGGCCAGUAAUAUCUUUCGAAGAUUUCUA